UAAGACGUAGGAGACGAGCGUUAUCCGGAUUUACUGGGCGUAAAGCGCGUGCAGGCGGUCCAGCAAGUUGGAUGUGAAAGCUCCCGGCUUAACUGGGAGAGGUCGUUCAAUACUACUGGACUUGAGAGUGGUAGAGGGAGGUGGAAUUCCGGGUGUAGUGGUGAAAUGCGUAGAUAUCCGGAGGAACACCAGUGGCGAAAGCGGCCUCCUGGACCACUUCUGACGCUCAGACGCGAAAGCUAGGGGAGCGAACGGGAUUAGAGACCCCGGUAGUCCUAGCCGUAAACGAUGUAGACUUGGCGUUGGUGGGUUCAAAUCCAUCAGUGCCGAAGCUAACGCGAUAAGUCUACCGCCUGGGGACUACGGCCGCAAGGUUAAAACUCAAAGGAAUUGACGGGGGCCCGCAC
rnacentral:rRNA from 1 species